rnacentral:rRNA from 1 species
UCCUACGGGAGGCAGCAGUAGGGAAUCUUCCGCAAUGGACGAAAGUCUGACGGAGCAACGCCGCGUGAGUGAUGAAGGCUUUCGGGUCGUAAAACUCUGUUGUUAGGGAAGAACAAGUACUAGUUGAAUAAGCUGGCACCUUGACGGUACCUAACCAGAAAGCCACGGCUAACUACGUGCCAGCAGCCGCGGUAAUACGUAGGUGGCAAGCGUUAUCCGGAAUUAUUGGGCGUAAAGCGCGCGCAGGUGGUUUCUUAAGUCUGAUGUGAAAGCCCACGGCUCAACCGUGGAGGGUCAUUGGAAACUGGGAGACUUGAGUGCAGAAGAGGAAAGUGGAAUUCCAUGUGUAGCGGUGAAAUGCGUAGAGAUAUGGAGGAACACCAGUGGCGAAGGCGACUUUCUGGUCUGUAACUGACACUGAGGCGCGAAAGCGUGGGGAGCAAACAGGAUUAGAUACCCUGGUAGUCCACGCCGUAAACGAUGAGUGCUAAGUGUUAGAGGGUUUCCGCCCUUUAGUGCUGAAGUUAACGCAUUAAGCACUCCGCCUGGGGAGUACGGCCGCAAGGCUGAAACUCAAAGGAAUUGACGGA